rnacentral:lncRNA from 10 species
GAAUGGGACAGGUGCUUAUAAAAGAGGCAUGAGAUAGCUUUUUUGCCACUUCUUUCAUAUGAGAAUACAGUUCAAAAGUACUAUCUGUGAGGAAUGGUCCCUCACCAGGCAUUGAAUCUUCCAGUAACUUGAUUUUGGACUUUCCAAUCUCCAGAACUGUGAGAAAUACAUUUCCUUGGUUUACAAUAUAAUCGAUGUUUAGUAUUUUGUUAAAGCAGACUGAACAGGCUAGGAUAUAUUACCCUUAAUAUAAUCAUUCCAACAAGAGAAGAAGCCAGCAGAAUUGGUAGAGCGUAUAGGCAGUGGGGGUUCAGCAACCAUGUGAAUCAAAGUUAAAAGUUCAACCAGGAACUAUAAAAGAAAGAAAUGCUCUGGACACUUGUUAAAAAUGGCAAGGAAACUGUAGUCCCAGCUACUCCAGAGGCUGAAGCAGGAAGAUCACUUGAGGCCAGAGUUUGAAGCCAGCCUUGGCAACAUAACAAGACCCCAUCUCUAGAAAAAGAAAAAAAAGACAAGGAGACUUCAGUCAAGACUCUUGCAAUAUGGAUCAAGACUGUUUCAAUAAAAGAGAGCAAUUAUAUUCAACUUCACUGAAAGAAAAGGUGGGAGAAUUUUAAAAUGUUGGAAUAA